AAGUAGAAAUACUAUCUAACUAAUAUAAAUUAUAGAAAAUAAUAUUGAAAAUGGACAUUGAAUCCGAUAUGGACUGGACCCCCGUACAGGCUAAGAAAAAAAUCACAAUAAAGUUGUAUGCAACUUCUCAGAAAGGACAUCUAAAUGAUCCAGUACAGGAAGAUUCACAUGAAAACAUUUUCCGAGUAACAGAAACGGAGUCUGAUUCUUCACUAGAAUCAUCGCCUG